UACGUAGGGUGCGAGCGUUGUCCGGAAUUAUUGGGCGUAAAGAGCUCGUAGGCGGUGUGUCGCGUCGGCCGUGAAAACCUGCAGCUUAACUGUGGGCUUGCGGUCGAUACGGGCAUCACUGGAGUUCGGCAGGGGAGACUGGAAUUCCUGGUGUAGCGGUGAGAUGCGCAGAUAUCAGGAGGAACACCGGUGGCGAAGGCGGGUCUCUGGGCCGAUACUGACGCUGAGGAGCGAAAGCGUGGGGAGCGAACAGG
rnacentral:rRNA from 1 species